rnacentral:lncRNA from 1 species
UGGAAGCUUCUGAUGUGCCUAGAGACAAUGAUACACCCAGGAAGGGACUGAAAAUGAGGCCAGGCCAAAGUACAAGGGGCCUUGAAGCUUAUUAGACGGGCAUGGAUUUUAUCCACAAAGCAAUGGGAUGCCACUGGAGAAUUUAAAUUAGCCGGUGGCAUAAUGAGCUCUCUAUUCCCAAAAGCUCACUCUGGUUGCAACGUGGAUAGGAAUGUAUGCGGACUGGAACCUGAUUAAGCGACGUAGCAACAAGGCAGAGUCGGUGAUGCCUGGACAAGGGCAGUGGUCUAUUGUCAGGCUCAUUUUUAUCAAUCUGGUAGGAGUGAAGUGAUAUCUAGUAAGCAAAUGGGGAUCUCAGUCCUGUACCCACAAGGAAACAAAUUCUGCCACAACCAUGUCAGCUUGAAAGAGGACCAUGAGCUCCAGAAUGAAACGCAGCCUGCCUAACACCAUGACUGUACCUUGUGAGACUCUGAGCAGAGGACCCAGGAAAGCCAUGCCUGCAUCCUGACCCCCCAGAAAUGGAGAUAAUAAAUGUAUAUUGUUUUAAGCCACUAAA